rnacentral:rRNA from 1 species
UACGAAGGGGGCUAGCGUUGCUCAGAAUCACUGGGCGUAAAGCGCACGUAGGCGGAUUGCUAAGUCAGGGGUGAAAUCCUGGAGCUCAACUCCAGAACUGCCUUUGAUACUGGCGACCUUGAGUCCGGGAGAGGUGAGUGGAACUGCGAGUGUAGAGGUGAAAUUCGUAGAUAUUCGCAAGAACACCAGUGGCGAAGGCGGCUCACUGGCCCGGUACUGACGCUGAGGUGCGAAAGCGUGGGGAGCAAACAGG